rnacentral:rRNA from 1 species
CCUACGGGUGGCAGCAGUGGGGAAUAUUGGGCAAUGGGCGCAAGCCUGACCCAGCAACGCCGCGUGAAGGAAGAAGGCGCAGAGCGUCGCAGACCUCUUUUGCCGGGGGACAAAAGGCCGGACUCGUCCGGUCCUGAGGGUACCCGGAGAAAAAGCAUCGGCUAACUCCGUGCCAGCAGCCGCGGUAAUACGGAGGAUGCGAGCGUUAUCCGGAUUCAUUGGGUUUAAAGGGUGCGCAGGCGGGCCUUUAAGCCGGCGGUGAAAUCGCGGGGCUCAACCCCGCCGGGCCGUCGGAACUGGGGGCCUUGAGUGCGGCGGAGGCAUGCGGAAUGCGCGGUGUAGCGGUGAAAUGCAUAGAUAUCGCGCAGAACCCCGAUUGCGAAGGCAGCGUGCCGUGCCGCCACUGACGCUGAGGCACGAAGGCCAGGGGAGCGAAAGGGAUUAGAUACCCCAGUAGUC